UGGGGAAUUUUGGACAAUGGGCGAAAGCCUGAUCCAGCAAUGCCGCGUGUGUGAAGAAGGCCUUCGGGUUGUAAAGCACUUUUGUCCGGAAAGAAAUCCUUGGCUCUAAUACAGUCGGGGGAUGACGGUACCGGAAGAAUAAGCACCGGCUAACUACGUGCCAGCAGCCGCGGUAAUACGUAGGGUGCAAGCGUUAAUCGGAAUUACUGGGCGUAAAGCGUGCGCAGGCGGUUUGCUAAGACCGAUGUGAAAUCCCCGGGCUCAACCUGGGAACUGCAUUGGUGACUGGCAGGCUAGAGUAUGGCAGAGGGGGGUAGAAUUCCACGUGUAGCAGUGAAAUGCGUAGAGAUGUGGAGGAAUACCGAUGGCGAAGGCAGCCCCCUGGGCCAAUACUGACGCUCAUGCACGAAAGCGUGGGGAGCAAACAGGAUUAGAUACCCUGGUAGUCCACGCCCUAAACGAUGUCAACUAGUUGUUGGGGAUUCAUUUCCUUAGUAACGUAGCUAAUGCGUGAAGUUGACCGCCUGGGGGAGUACGGUCGCAAGAUUAAAACUCAAAGGAAUUGACGGGGUCAUA
rnacentral:rRNA from 1 species